AUAUUCUGAGUCUGCCAGUCGCCUGUCAUACCCCUAAUAUAUUGAAACACAGUGGUGGUACAGAGAUUUGGACAAUCUAUCAUCUACAGGAUGAAGUCAUGAUCACAAACAAAUAAGAAAAUCUGUUCAAGAACUUCAAGAAACUGUCCACUGAGACAUAAAAAAUUGUACAGAGGCUAUUUCAAAAUACACACAAAGCAGGAUUUGUCAAAGUUGCCAAGGAAUAUUUUUUACAUCAUUCCUUGUAAUGGAAAGGAAAAUCUGGAGUUUUCUCGCACUUCUGGUAUUUGUGUUUUUAACAAAGAAGGUUUAAAACCUUUAUGGACAUGGAUUUUGAAACUUCUUAAAACUCUGGAAGGAUGAGGAAAAGGAAACUGGCAUUGAAAUGGAACAUGUUGGACAGGGUAAUCACGAUCAUGCAUUUAUAAAAGAUGACAGCAUAUCAGCACUACCUUAAGAUUGGAGAUGAGACCUUGUAUUUUUUACACAGAAAAUAAAGAACAGUUGCUGAAUGAAACAGAUACUCACAGAAGCAAAUGUAAUGAGCCCAAAAUAAUGGUGAUCAAUUUUGAAUGAUUUUAUUCUCUGGUUGAAAUGUUAUUGAAAUGAUACAUACUGAUCCAAUUUUAGAAGUGGUUGACAAUGAAUACUAAGUAUUUUGUUGUAUAUAAGUAUAAUGGCUUAUUUUAAAACUGUAUAAAGCUUGCAAUGAUUAUAUCAAAUGUAAUGAUUUUGUGUAGGAAUCAAAUUUUUUUAAGGAUAAAAGAUGUAAUUUUUUUCAAUCAGAAUUUCCUAAAAAGACUCUCUAAUGUAAAUACAUGUAUGGAUAAUAGAAGAUUAUAAUAUUUUCUUUUACUGUCAUUGAAAUACUGUAAUAAUGAACUGCAAUUUUACACAAAAAAUGUUUUAACAUGAAAGUUUCAAAUUUCAAGGUUUAUGAAGUUUGAAUUGUGGCUCAUAUUGCUUUUUAUUGAACUAUCUCCCUUAACCUUAGAUUUGUUGUGCAUUCUAUGUUAUAAAUUUAAUUUUGGAACAUGGGAAAGGUCUUGUUUUGAACUCUGUUGAUUUUAAUUCAAGCAGAGUAAAUGUGUUUAAUAUAUGUACCAAUCUGAUUAAAACCAGAUCCUUGAUCCGCUCCUUUGUUUUUUUAUUGUCACUACCUCGUGUAGCGACAAUGAAAAAACAAAGGAGCGGAUCAAGGAUCUGAUUUUAAUCACAUUGAUAUAUGUACAUGUAUGUCUGUGAAAAUAAUUGAUCUUCCCUCAGAGUUAUUUCCCUUGUUCACAGUGUAAAAAAAAAAAAAACUAAGAA